GAUGAACGCUGGCGGCGUGCCUAAUACAUGCAAGUCGAGCGAACAGAUGAGGAGCUUGCUCCUCUGACGUUAGCGGCGGACGGGUGAGUAACACGUGGAUAACCUACCUAUAAGACUGGGAUAACUUCGGGAAACCGGAGCUAAUACCGGAUAAUAUAUUGAACCGCAUGGUUCAAUAGUGAAAGACGGUUUUGCUGUCACUUAUAGAUGGAUCCGCGCCGCAUUAGCUAGUUGGUAAGGUAACGGCUUACCAAGGCAACGAUGCGUAGCCGACCUGAGAGGGUGAUCGGCCACACUGGCACUGAGACACGGUCCAGACUCCUACGGGAGGCAGCAGUAGGGAAUCUUCCGCAAUGGGCGAAAGCUUGACGGAGCAACGCCGCGUGAGUGAUGAAGGUCUUCGGAUCGUAAAACUCUGUUAUUAGGGAAGAACAAAUGUGUAAGUAACUAUGCACGUCUUGACGGUACCUAAUCAGAAAGCCACGGCUAACUACGUG
rnacentral:rRNA from 1 species